rnacentral:rRNA from 1 species
AUUGAACGCUGGCGGCAGGCCUAACACAUGCAAGUCGAGCGAGCGGCGGACGGGUGAGUAAUGUCUGGGAAACUGCCUGAUGGAGGGGGAUAACUACUGGAAACGGUAGCUCAUACCGCAUCCCAUCAGAUGUGCCCCGAUGGGAUUAGCUAGUAGGUGGGGUAACGGCUCACCAAGGCGACGGUCCCUAGCUGGUCUGAGAGGAUGACCAGCCACACGGGAACUGAGACACGGUCCAGACUCCUACGGGAGGCAGCAGUGGGGAAGAUUGGACAAUGGGCGAAAGCCUGAGGCAGCCAUGCCGCGUGUGUGAAGAAGGCCUUCGGGUUGUAAAGCACUUUCAGCGGGGAGGCGUUACCCGCAGAAGAAGCACCGGCUAACUCCGUGCCAGCAGCCGCGGUAAUAC